GUGAAAGACCAACAUUCCCAAGACACUACUAUAGGAUAACACAUUUUCCUACUGUUAGAAAAUUAAAAAAAAAUUACAAUUCAACUAAUAAAAGCAUCCAUUUACAGACCAAACAUUUUACUUCCAACACCAAGAAAGUAAAUGGGUUUGAGAGUCAGACUAAUAGCACCAACACUGGGUGAUCACAACCCUCACAGGUCCGAGCCUGGGUAUGCCAUCACCGUGCCGUGAAGUCAGGCAAAUCAGACCUGUGAGCACUGAAGAGUUUAUACAAUGGAUUACCAUACCUGCAUUCUUGUUACAUUCCAGUGAUGCAAACAGCAAGCCAGAAACACUAAAGAGUUUCCAAUGAACUCCAAUCUUCCAUUUCAGCACAAGAAAGAUUUCAGAACUUACAAAUGGCAGCUCCAUAUCCAACACACAACUUUAUUCACUUCAUGUUCACACAGUCUGUGCAAUAGAGGACAUGUGCAAUAGAAAGACGUGAAGAACAAGAUGUAGAAGUGGACAGCAUUACAAGGAUCCGACGAGCCCUUCCCUGCACAGCAGCACAGCACUAUACUGCUUUGCGAUGGUACUCAGGAGGGGCCACUUCGUAGUCGCUGGCACUGAACAACGCAGAGGAAUUCUUUGCUAAGUACUUUAAGAAGUCAUGCAAAUAGUUUAACAGCAAAGCCAGACUCUUCUCAUCAAGAGGUGUGUAAGCAAGCAUAGCUCCAAUCCGAACAAACAGCCUCAACAGAUGUGGGGCACCAUAGACUUGAGACAUAGGAGCAUCUGGAUGAUCUGCUAAGAUUUCAGCAUACUGAGGCCUCUCAAACUUGUACAGCAGUUGCGUUCCCAGCAUGACAUUGAAGUAUUCUUUAAUUCCAGCCACAACUUCAUUGACUGCAUACUCCUUAUUAUCAGUAUUUCCCCUAGAUUUCUUGUAGUUUGCAUAAUCCUCUAAAAUAGAGUCAACAUUCUUCUUGGCAGGAAGAUAGAAGAGCUGUUUUUGCCUGGUGAUCAAGUCCCAGUCAUCUACCAACCACGGUUUCAACUCUUCUGGGAUUUUCACUUUUACUUCAACUCUGUUCAUAAAUGUUUCUUCACUUUCCACUGUUGGAUCUACUCGUGCCCUCUUCUUCCUAGGAGGCUGAGGAGUCUCACUGCUACUGUUCCCUUCUCCAAGUCCAGGAGUUUUCUGCUUGUUCUUUUUUGUUUUCCGCGUCGAUAUGGUAGGGGUCUCCAAACAGCAAACAGUAUGCGCUCCAUCUCGUCUGAAAAAUACUUCAACAUUUUUCUGCUGCAGACCAGAUGUCUUCUUGCCUGGAGCAGCACCUCUCAUCUUCCCCUCUGCAUAUUGUUCCUGAUUGGCUUUUUGAAGUUCUUUUUGUUUCUGCAAAUUGGUAUCCACGUAUUUGAGCACUCUGCUUUCUGGAACCCAUUCAUCCCAGUUUUUAUUCCAACCACUGUAAUGAAUAAAGUAUUUCACUUGCUUGUCCUUUAUGGCAACCUUUACACACUUUGCUUCAUAAAGGAGAGGUCCAUGAAAACAAAGCACUCGUUCACCCUCCUGGAAUUUGGGCUUGGGGUCCUGCUUGGGCGCCAUUUAUAAGUACCUCUCCCUCCUCCCGCCCCCUCCCCGCGGGGGCCUCACCACCUCCGCCGCAUUCUGCGCGGCCGGCCCCAACCCCCCCCGCCGCACCGCGCAUGCGCACCGCUCUGCGCCGUCCCCGCGGCAUGCUGGGAUCGGUAGUGCGGGCGGGGCGGGGCGGCCGUACCGGGAGAGUUCCGCGCUGGUGUUGGGGCUGCGGUGCUGCCUCGAUUCGGUUUCGUUCGUUGGCGGUGAAGAGCUCAGUGUGACUGAGGAGCACGUGACAAAAAU
rnacentral:lncRNA from 1 species